CCUACGGGAGGCAGCAGUGAGGAAUAUUGGUCAAUGGACGAGAGUCUGAACCAGCCAAGUAGCGUGAAGGAUGACUGCCCUAUGGGUUGUAAACUUCUUUUAUAUGGGAGCAAAAUGGUCCACGUGUGGGAUUUUGUAUGUACCAUAUGAAUAAGGAUCGGCUAACUCCGUGCCAGCAGCCGCGGUAAUACGGAGGAUCCGAGCGUUAUCCGGAUUUAAUGGGUUUAAAGGGAGCGUAGGUGGAUUGUUUAGUCAGUUGUUAAAGUUUGAGGCUCAACCGUAGAAUUGCAGUUGAAACUGGGAGUCUUGAGUACGGGAGAGGUAGGCGGAAUUCGUGGUGUAGCGGUGAAAUGCAUAGAUAUCACGAAGAACUCCGAUUGCGAAGGCAGUUCACUGGACUGCAACUGACACUGAGGCUCGAAAGUGUGGGUAUCGAACAGGAUUAGAUACCCUUGUAGUC
rnacentral:rRNA from 1 species